CAGUAGCCACGGUAAUACGUAGGUGGCAAGCGUUAUCCGGAAUUAUUGGGCGUAAAGCGCGCGUAGGCGGUUUUUUAAGUCUGAUGUGAAAGCCCACGGCUCAACCGUGGAGGGUCAUUGGAAACUGGAAAACUUGAGUGCAGAAGAGGAAAGUGGAAUUCCAUGUGUAGCGGUGAAAUGCGUAGAGAUGUGGAGGAACACCAGUGGCGAAGGCGACUCUCUGGUCUGUAACUGACGCUGAGGAGCGAAAGCGUGGGGAGCGAACAGGAUUAGAUACCCGUGUAGUCCCUGUCUCUUAUAC
rnacentral:rRNA from 1 species